UUUCCUACGGGGGGCAGCAGUAGGGAAUUUUCGUCAAUGGGCGCAAGCCUGAACGAGCAAUGCCGCGUGAACGAGGAAGGUCUUCGGAUCGUAAAGUUCUGUUGAAGGGGAAAAAGAGCGGAGAGAGGAAAUGGUCUCCGAUUGAUAUUACCCUUCGAGGAAGUCACGGCUAACUACGUGCCAGCAGCCGCGGUAAUACGUAGGUGGCGAGCGUUAUCCGGAAUGAUUGGGCGUAAAGGGUGCGUAGACGGCAGCGCAAGUCUGGAGUGAAAUGCCGGGGCCCAACCCCGGAACUGCUUUGGAAA
rnacentral:rRNA from 1 species